GGUAGGAGGGCGUCCUCAGCAGUGGGGUAGGAGGGCGUCCUCAGCAGAGGGGUAGGAGGGCGUCCUCAGCAGAGGGGUAGGAGGGCGUCCUCAGCAGUGGGGUAGGAGGGCGUCCUCAGCAGAGGGGUAGGAGGGCGUCCUCAGCAGAGGGGUAGGAAGCAUUUAUUUUUAUUUUAGUGAAGGUCAGUUAAUUACCACAGUGGAUGUGGUCAGCAUGAAACAGUUAAACUUUAAAGACCUGAAGUGUAGACUUUAAUUAUUUAAAAUUUACACAUACUGUCCUGGUUUACAGUCUUGUGGGGUUAAUUGCAUUAUUAUUUUUAUACUGUAACAGUGAUCAAAAAUAAAUGGAGCAAAGAUUUAUCCUCUCACACUCUGUGAUGAAGUCUGGUGAACCUCACUGGAGCUGACAGAGAUGAUGACCAAGUGGACUCCUCCAAGUGGAAGUGAAAGAGACAGUAAAAUAUUUAAUGGACAUGAGGUUUUCUAUUAGAACUCUAAAAGAACACAAGAAGAGUGACCUAGAACAGAUUAUAGCAACACUGCCACCUAGUGUUCACUGCAUCAAAUUGACCCAGCAAUCUCCACACGCAUUUUCAUCACUACUAGACAAUGUUGUUGGCAUUAAGGGAACGUUCCUCUCCUGCGUCAGGUCUUAUUUGACCGAUUGCUAUCAGUUCAUAGAUGUAAAUGGAUACUUCUCUAUGCAUACUGAGCGAAGCCAGAGGACAGACAGCAGCUUAAAAAAGUUGAGGAAUGUCUAAAGGACAUUUGACGUUGGAUGCUUAUUAACUUCCUCUUACUUAAUUCUGAUAAGACAGAAGUACUUCACCUAGGACCACAUGCAGCUAGAAGUAUCUUUCUGAUUACACAGUAACUCUGGAUGGACUUUUUGUUUCAUCUUCUGUAGCAGUAAAAGAUCUUGUUGUGAUGAUUGACUCUAGUCUAUCAUUUGAUGCUCUUGUAGAUAAUAUUACUAGGAUAACCUUCUUUCAUCUCAGAAGUAUUUCUAAGUUAAGAAAUAUAAUGUCACUACACGAUGCAGACAUAUUAGUUCAUGCUUUCAUCACCUCUAGACUAGAUUAUUAUAAUGCCUUACUGUCUGGAUGUUCUAGUAGGAGCCUAAACAAGCUCCAGUUAGUCCAGAAUGCAGCCGCAAGAGUCUUUACUAGAACCAGAAGAUACGACCAUAUCACCUCCGAUCUUAUCAACACUGCAUUGGCUCCCAGUGGGACUCAGACACAGUCUCAGUGUUUAAGUCCAGGCUGAAAAUCUAUUUGUUUAGUCAAAACUUUUGUGAAUAGUUUUUUUUCUUAUGUAAAGGAGCAGAUCUAAAGGCUCACAGGUAUAGAGUGUUGUGGUGAACUGGGACACGUUCACUCAGGUUUGCUUAUGGUGGAGCGGCUGGUCGUUUUAUCUCCAGGGAGACCUCAUGUCUGUGUUCCCUUCUGGUUCUCCCUUUUAGUUAUGCUGUCACAGAUAGUCUUGCUUGAUACCCCACUUCUGCUUGGAGCCUCCAAUACCUGAGAAUCACUUCUGCUGAGUGUGGCUCCACAUGGACAGCCUAAAGAUCAUUAUAAGACUGAUGUGGAUGGCACCACACAGGCACCCUAAAGAUGAUUGUGGAUGUUCUCACUUGGAAAGCCUAAGGAUUGCGCUUGCUAAAAAUGAAAUGCACAAAUCUCAUUCAUUAUACAGUGGAAAAUUUCACCUGGAUCUUAUAGACUUAAAGCUAAAACUCUACUGAAAGCAAAAAUUAUCAUACUGAAGAUCUUCUGAAAAUGUUCUGAAAAUGCUGAAAAUACUGAAAAUGUUCAUAAUGAAGAUCUUUCCAAUGCACUUAGCACUACAAACUACAAACUGCAGUUCCACAAUGCAUGUGUGUGUGUGUGUGUGUGUGUGUGUGUGUGUAUGUGUUUAUACCAAUGUGUAAUGAAUAAUAUAUAACACAUAAACAUUGAUGUAAUAGAAAUAAAGCUAGUGGGUGUGGCCAGGACUGCUGCCAGCUAAUCAGAACACACUGUUAGUUAUACUUACAUUAAA